AGAGUUUGAUCAUGGCUCAGGAUGAGCGCUGGCGGCGUGCCUAACACAUGCAAGUCGAGCGAUUACUUCGGUAAAGAGCGGCGGACGGGUGAGUAACGCGUGGGUAACCUGCCUCAUACACAUGGAUAACAUACCGAAAGGUAUGCUAAUACAGGAUAAUAUAAGAGAUUCACAUGGAUUUCUUAUCAAAGCUCCGGCGGUAUGAGAUCGGACCCGCGUCUGAUUAGCUAGUUGGUAAGGUAAUGGCUUACCAAGGCGACGAUCAGUAGCCGACCUGAGAGGGUGAUCGGCCACAUUGGAACUGAGACACGGUCCAAACUCCUACGGGAGGCAGCAGGUGGGGAAUAUUGCACAAUGGGACGAAAGCCUGAUGCAGCAACGCCGCGUGAGUGAUGAAGGCCGUUCGGGUACGUAAAACUCUGUCCUCAAGGAAGAUAAUGACGGUACUUGAGGAGGAACGCCCCGGCUAACUACGUGCCAGCCGCAGC
rnacentral:rRNA from 1 species